GGAAGCGAUCAUACCAGCACUAAAGCACCGGAUCCCAUCAGAACUCCAAAGUUAAGCGUGCUUGGGCGAGAGUAGUACAAGGAUGGGUGACCUCCUGGGAAGUCCUCGUGUUGCAUUCC
rnacentral:rRNA from 2 species